UCCGAUCUUAAACACAAAAGAGAGAAAGUCAUGAGAUGCUGUUGCCUGGUAAGGAGAGAAAAACAUGGUGGUGUCAGCCCUUUGCCCAGCCAGGUACUACUGCUCUGUCCCACAAAUGUGUCUGCGGGUUGGCUUAGAUAUUGUUUUUUUCUUUGCAUUUAAAUUUCAAUCUGUUCUUCUAUGUUUUUGUUUUGAUUUUUUAAAAUUCUUGUAUUAGCAGUGGAGUCCCUGAGUGGUGCAAACAGUUAACACCCUUGGCUGCUAACUGAAGGGUUGGAGGUUUGAGUCUAACUGAGGUGCCUGGGAAGGCCUGGCAAUCUACGUCCAAAAACUCAGCCAUUGAAAGUUCUGUGGAGCAAAGUUCUACACUAACACACGUGGGGUUGCCAUGAGGUGGAGCUGACUCUGUGGCAACUGGUUUUUUAUAUUAGCAGUAAAUGGCUGUGGAUCGCUUCCGGUAAGCAGUAGAUUCUGAAAGUGAUCCACAACCAUUUACUCCUAAUAUAAGAACAUAAAAACACACAAAUAUAAAAAAUUAAGAGUAGAUUUAAAUGUAUUUUGUGAACAACAGGGUUACAUGGUGGUGUUUUUAGUAUCCGCUCAUUUAUAUGCAGAAUGUAUAAAUUUGUAUGAAGAAAGUGAAAUGUAUUUCAUUCUGUAUGUGGUGAGGCAAACUUGGUUCACAAAGCAUUAAGAAAGAGGGCAGGUGGUAUGGUUUGGCAGGUCAUUCUUGAUUAAAAUGUGCUUCUGUUAAGGUAUCUCUCAGCAAGGUAAUCUCUGCUUGGCAUUAUUAUUGAGUUUUAAUAUAAUGUUAAAAGACCUAAUUAGAAACAGUUUUUUUUUUAAAAAACCAAAACAUGUAAAAAUAAAAACCAUAACACCACCUUACUGACAGACAUUCUUUUUGUCAGUACUGAGUCUAUGUGUAUUUAAAUGAUAACAGGUUUUGUACACAGUUAGGGACUUAUUUAGAAGCUUUUGAUAAUUUCAUAAUAUGGCAUAUUUGAUAAUCACAAAAUCCCUGUAUGAAAUAUAGAAAUUCAGGGUAGAACUAUAAAUUCUUGUUAAGAAAUCACAGGUCAGAGCAGACCAUGUUUGACAAGCAGUUUCAUGUGAAGAAGACGUGGUGGUGUCAUUACAAGCUCACUCUGAGCCACCAACAUGAGGCAGGCAUUUUAAUAGUCAGGACAUGUGGGGAAAUGCUUCUAUUUUAUGCUUCACAUUAAUAAGAAUCACUUUGAAAAAUUAGAGCAGAUCCAGUGGGUGGCUGGAUGGUGAGUUCCUGGAAACCAAAACAGCAACAACAAUGACAACAAAACAAAAACCCAAUCCAUUGGGCAGAUAACUAGCUAAGGCAGGAGAGCAAGCUCAGAUUCCUUUUAGGGCCAGAAGAUAUUGUACGUGAGCAAAGCAGAGCCAGUGCCAGGCAAUAGGGAGAGGUGGGCUGUAAAAUCUGACCCCUCUAGAGUAGGAAGUCUAAACUCAGCUUUAGACGAUUGUUGUCAGAUGGGAACAUUGGUUCACUGUUGCCCAUCUUUGUGUUUUUCAAGAGGAGCUGGAAAUGCGGGUUUUUAUUUAUUAUGUACCAAUUUCAAAAACACUUUCUGGGCCAAACAAAAUAUUCAUGUGGGAUGUAUUUGGCAGCAAUUGGCCAGUAUGCAAUGUCUGGACUAAAGGAACGUGUGGCUUAGCUUAGAAUAGAGUUAGAACAGACCCAGAGAGUAAAGUGAAUCGUUGAAGGGCACCCAACUAGUGAAGGUAGAAAACUUAGACCUAAAAUUUAAAUCUCUUGAUGUGUGUUCUUUUCCUUCUUCCGCCAUGACUGUAACUGUGGCCCUUAUCAUUGAAUUCUGUAAGAAGCUAGUUAAGUUGCAAUUAGCAAAAUAAAGUUGCCCAUUCCUUUGAAGACCGCAGGUAUGAAAACAAACCACAACAUGAAGUUCUGUUGCUCAAGGGCUUUGCCUGAUACUCCAAGAUAUGCUAGGUGGGUCCAGAAAAAAUAUUUCCUAGUUUUCCCAGAAGGUAUUAUAUACUUUUUUUUUUCCUCCCUGUACAGAAUGGUUACCAUAUGAGCCAAAGGAAAGUACGAAAAGAUGUUGGAUAUUGAAAAUCUGUAUUAUGGCUUUCAUUUUGACUAUGGCCUGGCCUUUGGACUAGGAAAUAACUUUUUCAUAAUUAAAAACAGAUGAAUGAAGAGAUGGAUAAAGGGCAAAGAAAAUUUUCCAAAUAAUGCCAUGAAAUGUUAUCAGUUGCACUUUGGGAUUGUGUCCAAUACUGAAUAUGAACACACAUGAAGAGCACACACAUUUCACGAAUGUGUCAGUUGAGUGGCUGCUUGCAUGCAAAGACUCUCAUCAGUCAUCCUGAAAAAGCACCCAGGAAGUACUGUAUAGUGGGGGCUGUGCCCUUUGGAACACCUCGCCACCAAUGAUCACAAGCCUCAGGUUGUUUGAUUCUGGAAAUUACAGGUUGUGUUUUUGGCUUACACAUGAAAUCGGAGAGGAGAGAAAUUGCCUGAGACUCAAAGAGAACUAUUUAGAAGACCAAGCAGAAGGGAGAUGUUCACCCUUGGAAACCUGUCACCUUGUUGUGAGGAAGCCAGGCCUUGUGGUGUAGGCAAUCUGGCCAACAUCCCUAGCUAAGCUGUCAGCCCCUGGCCAACAUUAACCAUCAGCCAAGUAUUUCUGACCAUCUGGUUCAGAUUUUACAAAGAAAGUUGGAAGAACCUCCGUGGUGAUAAGAAUCGUACUGCUAAAAGUUUGAGUUUGUGGAUCGUCUAUAAAUGUGCCCUGAGAGCCAGGUAUUCACUUGUGAACUCAUAGAGGUCUGGGACUAAGAUGAAUUCAUCUGUACACCCUCGGCAGAUAACCAGAGGCUUGUGGAGUAAGUGCAUGGGAGGUGUUUGUUGAAUUCAAUUGAAAAAACACAACCAUGUUUUGAUCAAGGCAGUGGCUGAGCGGCUGCCUGGCAGCCUGGCUUUUACCAGCUACCACCUGAAGUUUCCAGACUCUUGUCUGUCUUGUUUUCCCUCAAUGAAAAUGGCUCUUUUGCUCUUUCUGAUUAUAACAAUUAAUGUAAAAAUACGUGCAUUGUAAAUAUAAUCUGGUAAUAUUAAAAUAUGAAAAAGAAAGUAUAAUUUCCCCAUCCAAAGUAACUACUGUUCAAAUUUUGGCAUAUAUACAUAUCCUUUUUUUGGUCAUAUCAAUAUGGUGGAAACCCUGGUGGCAUAGUGGUUAAGAACUACGGCUGCUAACCAAAAGGUCAGCAGUUUGAAUCCACCAGGCGCUCCUUGGAAACUCUAUGGGGCAGUUCUACUCUGUCCUAUAGGGUCGCUAUGAGUCGGAAUUGACUCGACGGCACUGGGUUUGGUUUUUUGGUUUAUCAGUAUGGUUAUUAAUUUCUCCUUGACAAAAAAUGGCAUGAUUUAUAUAGUAUAUGUUAUUUUUGAGAUGCACUUUUUUUCCAUGUAAUACAUUGUGGAUAUCUUUUCUAAUCAGGAAAUAAGUAGAUAAAUAUAGAUCUAUAGCAGCAAUUUCAAGUCGCUGCAUUAUAUUUCAUUUAAGGAAUGUGCAGUAAUUUAUUUUGCUUAGCCUCUGUAGGUUGGAAUUGACUUGAUGGCAACAGGGUUUUUCUACUGAUGAAUAAUUAAGUCGAUUCCAGUGUUUUCCUGCUAUGAAUAGUGCUGUGAGGUUUUGGUCUCUUUCUCGUGGUUCCUAUCUCAUUAUUCCUCUUUGCACUUCCAAUCUCUUUAUUUGUAAAGGCAGGAAAGAUGUAAAAGAGUAUACGCUCUAACAUAUGUGGGCAACUGUGGAACUGGUAAUGUAGACACAGAGGUAAUGUAGAUGCCUUUUAAGAGGAAAUUCUGGCCAAAGUUUUUGUCCUCGGUUGGGACAUCUCCAUCUGCUCCUAGGAGCCCAGCUCUCUUCUCUGAGCUCCAUAUUUAACCCUCAAAUUGUUUUCUUGAUGUCUCCGCUCAGAUAUAUAAAAUUCAAAUUCAAAAUAUCCAAAAUGCCCUUGAUAUCUUUCCUGAAACAUGUCGUACACUAACCAGUCUUCCCCAUCUCAGUCAAGAACGCCACCAUUCACCCAGGUGCUAAAGCCAGAAAGAGAAGUUAUCCCUGAUACCCACCCUGUCCUCCCUUUGUACAACAGUUCCAUCAGGAAAUCCCUGUUGAUUUCCUCUCCAAAAUAUAUCUCCCAUUGGUCCUCUUCUUCUUAUCUCCUUUGUGUAUUUUAUUUCAGAACGCUAUCACUUCUCUUCUAGAUGAUAAAAAAAAAAAAUUGUUUUUUCAUAAUUCCAUAUGAAUUUGGCUUUUCCUUUUCUGCAAAAAAAGGCAGUUGGAAUUUUGAUAGUGGUUGCAUUGAACCUAUAGACCGCUUUGGGCAGUUUUGACAUCUUAAUAAUAUUAAGUCUUCCUAUCCAAGAAUGGACCCCUGGUGGUGCAGUGGUUAAGAGCUCAGCUGCUAACUAAAACAUUGGCAGUUGGAAUCCAUCAGCUACUCCUUGGAAACCUUAUGCGGCAGUUCUACUCUGUCCUAUAGGUUUUUUGUUUGUUUUGUUUUUAAAUAAAUGGAAAGACAUUUGGUAUUCUUGGAUAAAAAAUAAAAACCCACUGCCAUCAAGUCAAUUUUGACUCAUAGCGACCCUGUAGAACAGAGUAUAACUGCCCCGUAGGAUUUUUAAAGAGUGGCAAACUCUUAACUGCUAUACCACUAGAGCUCCUCCAUUUAUUUAAAUCUUCUUUGAUUUCUUUCAGUAAUAUUUUAUGGUUUUCAGUGUACAAGUAUUUCAUCUACCUAGUUUUCAGCUUACAUGUGAUCUCCACAGAGGAACUUUCUCUGAACAUUUAAUCUGUAGUAUGUCCCCCUCUUAAUUUUUUUUUCUUUUAUCCCAUCCUGUUGCUUUUUCUUUUGUUAGAAUUUUUUGACUUGCAAAUAUUUAACUUGUUUGUUGGUUUUCUUGUUUAUUGUCUGUCUCUUCUACCAGAAUAUAGUCUCCAUGAGGGCAAUGCUGUUCCUGUGUUAUGCAAAUACAUACAUCCAGAGCCAGGCAAUAACUAUUAGGUGCCAUGGAGUCAGUUCCAACUACUAGUGACCUUUUGUACAACAAAACAAAACGCUGCCUGGUCUUGCAUCAUCUGCACAAUUGUUGCUAUGUUUGAGCCCAUUUUUGCAGCCACUGUGUCAAUCUAUUUCAUCAAGCAUUUUCCUCCUAUUUCUGGCUCUCUACUUUACCAAUCAUGAUGCCCUCUCCAUGGACUGGUCCCUCCCGAUAACAUGUACAAAGUAUGUGAGAUAAAGUCUCACCAUCCUCACUUCUGAGGAGAAUUUUUGCUGUACUUCUUCCAAGAUAGAUUUAUUCGUUCUUCUGGCAAUCCAUGGUAUAUUCAAUAUAUUCUUUGCCAACACCAUAAUUCACAGGCAUCAAUUCUUCAGGGUUCCUUAUUUAUUGCUCAACUUUCACAUGCAUAUGAGGUGAUUGAAAAUACCAUGAUUUGGUAUUUUUGGUAUUUUUUGGUAUUUAGUCCUCAAAGUGACAUCUUUGUUUUUUAAUACAUUAAAGAUUUGCCCGGUGAAAUACAUCAUUUGAUUUCUUGAUUGCUGCUUCCACGGGUGUUGAUCAUGCACCCACGUAAAAUGAAAUCCUUGACAACUUCAAUAUUUUCUCUGUUUAUUAUGUUGUUGCUUAUUGGUCCAGUUGUGAGGAUUUUUGUUUUCUUUAUGUUGAGGUGUAAUCCAUAUUGAAGGCUAUAGGUUUUGAUCUUCAUCAGUAAGUGCCUCAAGUUCUCUUUGCUUUCAGCAAGCAAGGUUGUGUCAUCUGCAUAUCGUGAGUUGUUAAUGAGCUUUCCUCCAAUCCUGCUGCUGCGUUCUUCUUCAUAUAGUCCAGUUUCUUGGAUUAUUUGCUCAGCAUUCGGAUUGAAUAUGUUUGGUGGAAGGCUACAACACUGACACACACCUUGAUUUUAAACCAUGCAGUAUCCCCUUGUUCAAAUGACUGCCUCUUGGUCUAUGCACAGGUUCCUUAUGAGCACAUAGUCAAAUGCCUUUGCAUAGUCAAUAAAACAAAGGUAGACGUCUUUCUGGUAUCCUCUGUUUUCAGCCAAGAUUCGUCUGACAUCAGCCAUGAUAUCCCUCCUUCCACAUCCUCUUCUGAAUCUGGCUUGAAUUUCUGGCAAUUCCCUGUUGAUGUACUGCUGCAAUUGUCUUUUAAUUGUCAGUAACCUUGGACAAGUUAUUGACUUCUCUAAGUCUUGGUCAUCUCAUCUGCAAAGUGGUGCUAAAUAUCUCUCCUGAAAAGUUGUGAGGUUUAGUGAUUACCUAUGAUAAGUACCUAACACAGAAACUAGCACAUAGCUGGUAUGCAAAUCUCUACCUGCCAGCUCCAACCCCUCUGAUCCUAGCUUCUCUCUUUCACCCGUCUAGACAAUCGACUUGACCGCACUGGGUUUGGCUUUUUUUGAUUAGACAAGAAUGUGGAUUCUGCCUCUGUCCAAGUAUUCUAUGAUGUGAUAGUUAAGUGUGUCAACUUGGCUGACCCAUGAUUCUCAGUGGUUUGGCAGCUACGAUAUAGUUUGGCAGUCAUGUAAUGACGUGAUCACCUUUAUGUUGAGAUUUGACAUAAGGCGAUCACCACCAUGAUGGGAUCUGCUGUGAAUAGCCAAUCAGUUGAAAGGUGUUUCCUUGGGGGUGUGGCCUGCAUCCAAUGGAAUUUCUGGUAAGCCUAAUGGGCUUUUGCUCGCUCUGGAUCCUGCAGCUGUCUCCGGGUCAUCCGACCUCUGGUUCUUAGAACUUGAGAUAGCAGCUUCCCUGCUGUCUUGCCUGCCAGACUUGGGAUUUGUCGGUCUCUGCAGCCUAUGAGUACGAGCCCUGCUGUCUGACCUGCAGAUCUUGGGUUCACCAGCCUCCUACAGCUACGUGAGUUGGGAGAAGUCUCCACCCUGACCCAGAGACUUGGAACUUUCCAGCCUCUACAACCACGUGAGCCAUUUCCUUGAUAUAAAUCUCUCUCUCUAUAUAUAUUUAUAUGCUUUACUGGUUUUGUUUCUCUAGAGAUCCCAGCCUAAGACAUAUGGGCUAUUUCAGGCUGUUCUUCCUUUCUUGAUCUGAGUGAACUGAUUCCUUUAACUUCCUGAGCUGCUGUUUUCUUUUUGGCCCAUAUCCUUUAAACAAAAACUCUUUUUAAACUGCCUCUGUUUUACACAUCUGAGCCACUUUGAUCUUACUUCUUUCUGGCAUAAGGGCAAUUUGUUCACUUUUGGAAGUAAGACUCAUGCCAUAGUUUCUUCAAAGCACUUUGUAGUCAUAUCCAGAGAAGAUGCUGGCCUGAUUUCCCCAAAGAUGGUUAACAGAGUGGACAGAAUUCAUUACUUUCACAGGCAAAAGAUGCACUUAAAAUAGGGAAAAUUUUUGCUCAAUUUUAAGAAUGUAAAAAAAGCUUUAUAUCACAAAUGCAAUAUAAUGUAAUGUCCCUUUGUGAUAAGAAUCUUCUUUGCCAUGACUUUUUAAAUGCGCGAUUUAUUUUUUCAAGGUUGUAAUUUGAAUUACAUGACCAUACAGCUUCUCUGGAAGGCAUAAAGCUGCUUUCUGGAGCCCAGCCCUCUCAGACACCUUGGUAUGAAUAAUUUGAAGAAUGGCAGGGAUCCCAUAUGUUUCUGCAUUCCUCCUAGACGGCUUUGACAUUUGGGGAUUUAUUCUUAGAGUUUGCUUCUUUCAACAUGUUUAGUUCAAUUAGUCUACUGAAGCUGAGGUGGCAUUACCAUUUUUAAAAGUAGUGGUACCAGAUUCAGAACAGGAUGUUUGAGACACAACAGACAGGCUUGUGUUCAGACUAGACGGCCAUUUAUCAAAUUUAGAGAAAACUGAAGUGAAUCCACAGCAUGUAACCCAGUUUCUUAAACAGAGUAGGUGCUCAAUAAAUACUGGUUAAAAGAAGGAAGAAGGAAUGAAUGCAUAAGCAACUAAUGGCUGGAACUCUUAAUGCCUUGGGGAAAGAGGAACAUUUAAAUGAAUUAGGGAUUAUUUAAGGAGCCCUGGUAGCACACGUGUUGAGAGUUUGGCUAGUAAUCAAAAGUUUGGCUGUUCGACUCCACAUAGCCCUCUGCGAGCAAAAGACCUGGUGAUCUAUGCCCAUAAAGGUUACAGGCAAGAAAACCCUGUGCGGCAGUUCUACUCUGUCACACGGGGUCACCGUGAGUUAAAUAUUGACUUUAUGGCACCUAACAGUAAUAACAAGUUGUGGAAUGACAUCAAGGAUUUCAUAUGUGAAGAAAGCAAGAAGUCAUUAAAAAGACGGGAAAGAAAGAAAAGACCAAAGUGGCUCUGAGAGGGACUACCAUUUAUUGAGGACUUACUAUAGUGGGCAUCCAUGGGUCUGUCAGUUUGUCAUACGGUGGGGGUUUGUGUGUUACUGUGAUGCUGGAAGCUAUGCCACCAAUAUUCAAAUACCACCAGGGUCACCCAUGGUGGACAGGUUUCAGCUGAGCUUCCAGACUAAGAAAGACUAGGAAAAGGAUUCGACGGUCUACUUCUGAAAAGAAUUAGCCAGUGAAAACCUUAUGAAUAACAGGGGAACAUUGUCUGAUAUAGUGCCGGAAGAUGAGCUUCCCAGGUAGGAAAGCACUCAAAAGAUGACUGGGGAAGAGCUGCCUCCUCAAAGUAGAGUUGACCUUAAUGAUGUGGAUGGAGUAAAGCUUUUGGGACCUUCAUUUGCUGAUGUGGCAUGACUCAAAAUGAGAAGACAGCUGCACGCAUCCAUCAAUAAUCAGAACGUGGAAUGUACAAAGUAUGAAUGUGGGAAAAAUGGAAAUCAUCAAAAAUGAAAUGGAACAUGUAAAGGUCAAUACCCUCAACAUUAGUGAGUUGAAAUGGACUGGUAUUGGUCAUUUUGAAUCAGACAAUCAUGUGGUCUACUAUGCCAGGAAUGACAACUUGAAGAGGAAUGGCGUUGCAUUCAUCAUCAAAAAGAACAUUUCAAGAUCUAUGCUGAAGUACAAUGAAGUCGGUGAUAGAGUAAUAUCCAUAUGCCUACAAGGAAGACUAGUUAGUAUGACUAUUAUUCAAAUUCAUGCAUCAACCACUAAGGCCAAAGAUGAAGAAACUGAAGAUUUUUACCAGCUUCUGCAGUCUGAAAUUGAUCAGACAUGCAAUCAGGAUGCACUGAUAAUUAGUGGUGAUUGGAAUGCGAAAAUCGGAAACAAAGAAGGAUUGGUAGUUGGAAAAUAUGGUGUUGGUGAUAGAAACGAUGCUGGAGAUCGCAUGAUAGAAUUUUGCAAGCCCAAUGACUUCUUUAUAGCAGAUACCUUUUUUCACCAACAUAAAUGGCAACUGUACAUGUGGACCUGGCCAGAUGGAAUACACAGGAAUCAAAAUGACUACAUCUGUAGAAACAGAUGAUGGAAAAGCUCAGUAUCAUCAGUCAGAGCAAGGCCAGGGGCCGACUGUGGAACAGGUCAUCAAUUGCUCAUAUACAAGUUCCAUUUAAAACUGGAGAAAAUUAGAAUAAGUCGACAAGAGCCUAUGUAAGACCUUGAGUAUAUCCCACCUGAAUUUAGAGACCAUCUCAAUAAUAGAUUUGAUGCAUUGAACACUAAUGACUGAAGACCAAACGAGUUGUGGAAUGACAUCAAGGACAUCAUACAUGAAGAAAGCAAGAGGUCAUUAAAAAGACAGGAGAAAAAGAAAAGACCAAAAUGGAUGUCAGAAGAGACUCUGAAACUUGCUCUUGAACGCUGAGCAGCUAAAGCAAAAGGAAGAAAUGAAGUAAAACAACUGAACAGAAGAUUUCGAAGGGUGGCUCAAGAAGACAAAGCAAAGUAUUAUAAUGACAUGUGCAAAGAGCUAGAGAUAGAAAACCAAAAGGGAAGAACACGCUCAGCAUUUCUCAAGCUGAAAGAACUGAAGAAAAAAUUCAAGCCUCGAGUUGCAAUAGUGAAGGAUUAUAUGGGAAAAUAUUAAACGACGCAGGAAGCAUCAAAGAAAAUGGAAGGAAUACACAGAGUCACUACACCAAAAAGAAUUAGUUGAUGUUCAACCAUUUCAGGAGGUAACAUACGAUCAGGAACCGAUGGUACUGAAGGAAGAAGUCCAAGCUGCACCGAGGCAUUGGCAAAAAACAAGGCUCUGGGAAUUGACACAAUACCAGUUGAGACAUUUCAACAAACAAAUGCAGCUCUGUAAAAAAAAAAAGCACUUGCUUAUCUGUGCCAAGAAAUUUGGAAGACAGCUACCUGGCCAACUGACUGGAAGAGAUCCAUAUUUAUGCCUAUUUUCAAGAAAGGUGAUCCAACCAGAUGUGGAAAUUAUUGAAUAAUGUCAUUAAUAUUGCACACAAGCAAAAUUUUGCUGAAAGCGGCUGCAGCAGUAUAUUGACAGGGAACUGCCAGAAGUUCAGGUCAGAUUUAGAAGAGGAUGGGAACCAGGGAUAUCAUUGCUGAUGUAAGAUGGAUCCUGGCUGAGAGCAGAGAAUACCAGAAAGAUGUUUACCUGUGUUAUAUUGGCUAUGCAAAGGCAUUUGACUGUGUGGUUUAUAACAAAUUAUGGAUAACAUUGCCAAGAAUGGGAAUUCCAGAACGCUUAAUUGUGCUCAUGAGGAACGUGUACAUAGAUCAAGAGGCAGUUGUUCAGAUAGAACAAUGAUAGAAUAAUACAUGGUUUAAGGUCAGGAAAAUCGUGAGUCAGGGUUGUGUCCUUUCACCAUACCUAUUCGAUCUGUAUGCUGAGCAAAUAAUCCACAAAGCUGGACUUUAUGAAGGAGAGCGGGGCAUCAGAAUUGGAGGAAGACUUAUUAACAAUCUGUGUUAUGCACAUGACCCAACCUUGCUUGCUGAAAGUGAAGAGGACUUUAAGCACUUACUGAUGAAGAUCAAAGACCACAGCCUUCAGUAUGGAUUACGCCUCAACAUAAAACAAAAAUUCUCUCAACUGGACUAAUAAGCAACAUCAUGGUAAACAGAGAAAAGAUUGAAGUUGUCAAGGAUUUCAUUUCUCUUGGAUCCACAAUUAACACCCACGGAAGCAGCAGUCAAGAAAUCAAAAGACCCAUUGCAUUGGGCAAAUCUGCUGCAAGGGACCUCUUGAAAGUGCUGAAAAGCAAAGAUGUCACCUUGAAGACUAAGGUGCGCCUGACCCAAGCCAUGGUAUUUUCAAUCACCUCAUAUGCAUGUGAAAACUGGACAAUGAUUAAAGAAGACUGAAGAAGAGCUGAUGCCUUUGAAUUGUGGUGUUGAUGAAGAGUAUUGAAUAUACCAUGGACUGCCAAAAGAACGGACAAAUCUGUCUUGAAAGAAGUACAGCCAGAAUGCUCCUUAGGAGCAAGGAUGGCAAGACUAAGUCUUACCUACUUUGGACGUUUUGUCAGGAGGGAUCAGUCCCUGGAGAAGGGCACUAUGGUUGGUAAAAUAAAGGGUCAGCAGAAAAGAGGAAGACCCUCAGCAAGAUGAAUUGACACAGUGGUUACAACAAUGAGCUCAAGCAUAACAAUGAUUGUGAGCAUGGCACAGGACUGGACAGUGUUUCGUUCUGUGGUACAUAGAGUCUCUAUGAGUCAGAAUUGGCUGGAAGGCAGCUAACAGCAACAGUAUAAUGGACAUCUAUUGUUUAGUUGCCUAGCAUCUCUGUUCUUUUUGUGGAACUGUGCCUUUCUCCAUAGUCAGUGAGUCCAUCAAACAUGGUAUAACCCAGCAGCCAGGAGAGGGCAUAUGCCCCAGACUGAGCUAUUUAUAAUGCUGCGUCCUCUUUGCAACUUUCUUGGUGAGAGCAUAUGCAUGUAGACAUGAGACCUGGUAGGACCAAUCAGGGUCUUCCUCUUGAGUGAUAGAUACUGGGAAGAGAGAAGGAAAAGGGAAGCUUCUUUUUACACCAUGAUUGUUAAACGUGGAAUAAGUGAAUCUGGGUAGUGGUGUGAGGGUAACUGGUUAACAAUUGGCUCUCAAGGAAAAAAUGCAUGCAUAUAUAUAUAUAUAAAAGUUUAGUAUGGAUUCUACUGAUUUAAAGAGUGUGUAGCAGAGAAUUUUCAAGUAACAUUAAAAUAGUCAACUCUUUAUUGUAAAUUUCACAUGACCACUUGAUUCUCACAGCAUGCUUUCACUGAUUUUUUGCUGAACUCUUGAAUCCAUAGCCAAUCUCUGGUUGCAAUUGAUGAUUUAUGUUUGUUAAUGAGUAAUCUCUUUGCUAAAUUGGACAGUAGUUUUAAAAUACCAGAAUUUUUUUCUAUUCGUGAUAUCAUAUCUAAAGACACAAACAUGUUUAAGUUUAAUCUGAAUUAUUUACAAUCUGUAUUUUCUCCAUCACUUUCUUAAGUCUAGGUAAUCAAUAAAUCAAAUCCUGAUUUGUAGCAUUAGCUGAUUUCUGUGGCUUAUUUCAAAACACUAACAUGAAUGACUAUGGAGCCGGAAAGAGAUGUGCGGUAGCACACCAUUAUAUAGUAUUUCUACCAUACAAAUAUGAUAGAUGGAAAUAAACUCAAGAGCGUAGAUAUUAGUAAAAUAACUAGUAAGUGAUAAGUUUUGAGUAUUAGUUGCUUUUGUUUUAAAUAUAAUUUUUUAUUGUUUUUGAAAAUAUUCACAGCAAAAGAUUUACCAUUUGAACAAUUUAUACAUGUACAAUUCAGUGCCAUUGGCUAUUCAGGUUAUGCUACCAUUCUUGCUAACCUUUUCCACAUUAUUCCAUCACCAUUACCUUAAACUUAAAAUCACGGCCUUUAAGUUUCCCAUCCCCCCUUCAAGUUGUCGUCAUCAAUUUGAUCUCACAUAGAUAAUUCUUUAAAAGACCACAAUGCUCGAAGCAAACAUGCUUUACCUAUUAAAAUAAGCUUUUUUUUUUUUUUUUUUUGGUUCAGAAAAGACUUCAGGGGAUAGUUUUGGUUUAAGGUUUGAGAAGUCUGUUUUUAUUAAUCUGUAUCUGUCUGUCUGCCUGUAUGUAUCUAUUGAUCAAUCAACCCAUCUACCUAUUAAUUUUUUGUCCUCACUUUUUCAGAUAAGCUGUGAGAAGGUAAGUGACUUGUUCCAGGUAGAACUCAAGUCCAGUUCUAUCUGACCGUGAGGCAACAUCCUCAGAUGAAUUCUCACCAAAUGGAGGGUUACUUAGUGCUAAGUAGAUCAGCCUUUGCAAGUAUAACUAAGCGGUAGCUCAGAGAAGAAUCUCUUAACAAGCUGUCUUCAUCCACCUCUCAGCCCUCUCCUCAGUCUUCUAUGAUUCCUUGAUGAUCCCUUUUCUCCAUUUCUCACACAUUUCACCAUUGAAUCCUUUUUAAUCUUCUGUUAUCUAAAACCUAGGGAUGUUAACAGUUUAGGGGAAUAAAAAGUAGCUCCUACUCACUAAAAGGGAGCAGGCUCCGGUGCCAGUCCUAACCGCAUUUCACAGAUGGGAAAACUGAGGCUUAAGGAGUUAAGCUAGUUACCUGAGUCAUUGCAGACACCAGCAAGAGCCAAGACACUGCGUACUAACUGAUGCUCAUUCCCUCUUGCAGACUGCUCAAAAAAAAAAAAAAAGACUCCAUUGUAUCUCAGUAGACUAAUUUUUCAAAUGACAGAAGGAAAUUAUGCCUUAGUUACUAUUAAUGCCCUAGGACUGCAGUUCUCAAAGUUUACUGUGCACCACAGUCACCUGGAGAAAGAAAAGAACUGCUGAUACACAGAACGUGGCUUAAUUUCAAAGUAGGUAUUCUGAGUGAAAGAAGGCAGACAAAAAAGAAUAUAUGCAGUUUGAUUCCAUUUAUAUACCUUUCUAGAAAAUGCAGACUAAUCUAUAGUGACAGAAAGCUGAUCAUUGUUUGCCUGGGGACCAAGAAGGAGAAGAGAGAUGAAUUAUAAACGGACAUGAAGGGGAUUUUGGGAGGGGGAUUUCUUGAUUAUGGUGAUGGUUUAAUGGAUAUAUGAAAAGUAAAAGAAAUGUCAAAAUGUAUCAAAUUCUACAUUUUAAAUAUACAUAGUUUAUUGUAUGUCAAUUAUACCUCAAUAAAGCUUCUUCUUCUUUUUUUUUAACAUGUUGCUUUAUACUUGUUCCCUUGACAUUUUAUGUGUGUAUAUGUGUCUUUUCUUCCAGCCAUAUUUUUACUAUGGUUUUUAAUUAUUUAAACAAUUGACAGUGAACACUAAAUAGAAAAAUCAAAUGUCAGUAGAAACAUGAAAUAUUGGUAGAAGGGAAGAGAAAACAGAACCCCAAUAUGGUAAAUUAUUGAUGAGUUGUAAAACCUAUAGCCUUUUCCCAUACUCCUGCUUAUAGUCAAAGUGUAUAUUGUAGAAAUCAAUCAAUAUAUAAUAUUCUGCAUUGUAUAUUUUUCCAUUGGCCUGUAUUUUUUUUUUAAGGACUUUUCCAUGUUUCUACGUAGUCCUUGGAUUUGUCGAUUUUAAUAGGAUUUUACAUACAAUCAAAUCAACGCACUAUGAUCCCCCUGUUUAUUCAUUCACAUUUAAAUAGUUGAGUCAUUUAGAUGUUAGUAACAAUAUGUAAUUCAGUUUCAACCAUUUUUGCAUAUUUGCUUUUUCAUUUGAAUUAUCUCCUUGCCCUUUAUUAUUAAUAUCCUAAUGUCAAUUAGGGGAAAAGACAUUAAACAUGAUGUGAGAACUGAGCUGAGCCUUGACUUUGCCACUUACUGGCUGAGGACCUUCUGAAAAUCACUUACUAUUUGUAGAGAUUUUUUUUUUUUAAUUUGAAAAAUAGAAAUAAUUAUAUUUGCUCUAGUAAUCUCACAAGUGCUGUUGGAGGACCGUGAUGGUUAAGAUUGUGUGUCAAGCUGGCUGAGCCAUGAUUGUUGGCGUUUAUGUGUGAUCACUCCCAUGAUUAUUGAAUUUGCUGUGAGUAGGCAAUCAGUUGAAAGGGACUUUCCUUGGAGGUGUGGCCUGCAUCCAAAUAUAAGCAGAUGUUUGGCUUUUUGCUCAGUCUGGAUCCUGUGGCUGCGUCCUGUUUGUCUGACCUCCGGCUCUUGGGACUUGAGCUACCAGCUUAUCUGCAGACCUUGGGAUUCGUUGAUCUUCACAGCUCGAAAGCAGGAACUCUGCUCUCCAACCUGAGGAUCUUGGGUUCACCAACCCCUGCAGCUAUGUGAAUUGAGAGAAGCCUCUAUGCUGAUGCAUGGACUUGGGACACUCCAGCCUCCACAAUUGUAUCAGCCAUUUACUUGAUAUAAAUCUCUCUCUCUAUAUGUUUAUACACUUUACUGGUUUUGCUUCUCCAAAGAACCCAGCCUAAGACAAGGAGAAUGGCAAAGAUGAACUAAGUUAAAUGAAGAUGUUUUGUGGCCUAUUAUGUAUCUAAAAGUACUGCUUUUAUCAUUCCAUCCAGUUUGGUGUUACCUUAUACGUGUUAAAUUCAUAUUGCUUUAUUCUUUUUUGGUUUUGAAAAAUUCACAAUUAAAAAAAAAACCCUUCGUACUAACAUUUAUUACUAUUAUCCAUCUAU